rnacentral:rRNA from 1 species
GACGGCCUUCGGGUUGUAAACCUCUUUCAGUAGGGAAGAAGCGAAAGUGACGGUACCUGCAGAAGAAGCGCCGGCUAACUACGUGCCAGCAGCCGCGGUAAUACGUAGGGCGCAAGCGUUAUCCGGAAUUAUUGGGCGUAAAGAGCUCGUAGGCGGUUUGUCGCGUCUGCUGUGAAAGACCGGGGCUCAACUCCGGUUCUGCAGUGGGUACGGGCAGACUAGAGUGCAGUAGGGGAGACUGGAAUUCCUGGUGUAGCGGUGAAAUGCGCAGAUAUCAGGAGGAACACCGAUGGCGAAGGCAGGUCUCUGGGCUGUAACUGACGCUGAGGAGCGAAAGCAUGGGGAGCGAACAGGAUUAGAUACCCUGGUAGUCCAUGCCGUAAACGUUGGGCACUAGGUGUGGGGGACAUUCCACGUUUUCCGCGCCGUAGCUAACGCAUUAAGUGCCCCGCCUGGGGAGUACGGCCGCAAGGCUAAAACUCAAAGGAAAUUGACGGA